rnacentral:tRNA from 1 species
GCGGGAGUGGUGGAAUCGGUAGACACGCAGGAUUUAGGUUCCUGUGCCUUCGGGCGUGUGGGUUCGAGUCCCACCUUCCGCA